rnacentral:lncRNA from 1 species
ACCUGAUUGGUUAAGAUAUAGAGUAGUGCAGUUACGUCUAACUGCUAUUUAACAAUCACGGGCAAGCAAGGAACUUUUCUUGUAGAUCAUAGAUUUUUGGAGGGAGAUGGGUUCAUUGUUCAACAUUUGGUAUCCUUGAUUUUAAAGACGAAGUCAAUGUGUACAUUACACCCAGUAUCUAUCAGAAUCAAUUUCAAUCAAUAAUAAAAACAUUCAUUCAGUUUAAUUAGUAUACCAUUCAACAAUAAAUUUUAACUAUCCGUAACUUAUAUUGACGACUUCAUUGAAAUAAAAUUAAUUUUUGAUA